AUUGAACGCUGGCGGCAGGCCUAACACAUGCAAGUCGAACGAGUGGCGGACGGGUGAGUAAUGUCUGGGAAACUGCCCGAUGGAGGGGGCUAACUACUGGAAACGGUAGCUAAUACCGCAUACCAUCGGAUGUGCCCAGAUGGGAUUAGCUAGUAGGUGGGGUAAAGGCUCACCUAGGCGACGAUCCCUAGCUGGCCUGAGAGGGUGACCAGCCACACUGGAACGGAGACACGGUCCAGACUCCUACGGGAGGCAGCAGUGGGGAAUAUUGGGCAAUGGGCGCAAGCCUGAUGCAGCCAUGCCGCGUGUAUGAAGAAGGCCUUCGGGUUGUAAAGUACUGUCAGCGGGGAGGCGUUACUCGCAGAAGAAGCACCGGCUAACUCCGUGCCAGCAGCCGCGGUAAUUC
rnacentral:rRNA from 1 species